UACGUAGGGUGCGAGCGUUAAUCGGAAUUACUGGGCGUAAAGCGUGCGCAGGCGGUUUUGUAAGCCAGAUGUGAAAUCCCCCGGGCUUAACCUGGGAAUGGCAUUUGGGACUGCAAGGCUCGAGUGCGGCAGAGGAGACUGGAAUUCCUGGUGUAGCAGUGAAAUGCGUAGAUAUCUGGAGGAACACCGGUGGCGAAGGCGGCAUCCUGGACCGGUAUUGACGCUGAGGCGCGAAAGCUAGGGGAGCAAACGGGG
rnacentral:rRNA from 1 species